rnacentral:piRNA from 1 species
UGUAAGCUUUGUAUGCUUUGUAAAAUUUGU